rnacentral:rRNA from 1 species
GGAAUAUUGGGCAAUGGAGGAAACUCUGACCCAGCCAUGCCGCGUGAGUGAGAAGGUCUUCGGAUUGUAAAGCUCUUUUAUGCAGGAAGAUGAUGACAGUACUGCAAGAAAAAGCACCGGCAAACUUCGUGCCAGCAGCCGCGGUAAUACGAAGGGUGCGAGCGUUGUUCGGAAUUACUGGGCGUAAAGGGUGUGUAGGCGGGUUUAUAAGAUAGCGGUGAAAUGCCUGGGCUUAACCGAGGAAUUGCCGUUAUAACUAUAGGCCUAGAGUGACAGAGAGGAUAUUGGAAUACCCAGUGUAGAGGUGAAAUUCGUAGAUAUUGGGUAGAACACCAGUGGCGAAGGCGAGUAUCUGGCUGUUAACUGACGCUGAGGCACGAAAGCAUGGGGAUCAAACA